rnacentral:rRNA from 1 species
AUUGAACGCUGGCGGCAGGCUUAACAAAUGCAAGUCGAGCGGAAGAAGGGAGCUUGCUCCUGGAUUUAGCGUCGGACGGGUGUGUAAAGACUAGGAAUCUGCAUGGCAGUGGGGGAUAACGUCCGGAGACGAGAGCUAAUAACGCAAACGUCCUGAGCGAGAAACAGGGGGAGAUUCGGACUUCACGCUAUCAGAUGAGCCUAGGUCGGAUUAGCUAGUUGGUGGGGUAAAGGCCUACCAAGGCGACGAUCCGUAACUGGUCUGAGAGGAUGAUCAGUCACACUUGAACUGAGACACGGUCCAGACUCCUACGGGAGGCCGCAGUGGGGCAUGUUGGUCAACGGGCGUAAACCUUGUCCAGCGCUCCGGCUGGUGUGACAGAGAUCUUCCGAUUGUGAAGCACCUUAAGUUGGGGGGAACCGCAGUAAGUUACUAUCUUUCCAUUUUGACGUUAACCACACAAGAAGCACCGGCUAGCUUCGUG